rnacentral:lncRNA from 1 species
CCCCCCCCCCCCCCCCCCCCCCCCCCCCCCCCCCCCCCCCCCCCCCCCCCCCCCCCCCCCCCCCCCCCCCCCCCCCCCCCCCCCCCCCCCCCCCCCCCCCCCCCCCCCCCCCCCUCCUUUUCCACGCUUUUAUUUUUAUUUCGGCUUGGUUUUUUUGUUUUUUUUUUUUUUCACCACCGCUCUGCCCUGCUCCCCGCUGGGGCCCUUCACCUCCUUUCCCUUCUCCCAUCCCUCUCCUCCCUUCCCUUCUCUUUGCAGCUGGAGGCCGCCCCCAUCCCUCCAUCCCAGUGCUCCCAGCAGCUGCCUGGCACUGGGGAAGGACAGGCCUUACUGGAGGGGACACCCCCCUCACCCCUCAGGCCAUCUGCAGAGCUGUCCCAAAUUUGGGGGGGUCCCAUCUCUCUUUGCAGCUGCGUGCACAGAGCCUCUCCUCCGGAAUGGUGCCCUUGGGAACACUGACAGCACCUCGGGGUCCCUGGGACGCCUCUCUGCACCCACCGAGGGGUUCUGCAGCUGCAGCACGGGAGAGGAAAACAAGACCUAAAUAAGCCCAAAUAAAUGCACGAGCUGUUUUUCUGUCUGGUGAAACGGCCGGGAUGAAGAGACGCCAUCGCCGCGCAUCCGAAGGCCUGGUACCCCCGGCUGCUCCCUGGGGCUCUCUCAUUGCUCCCAGAGCGAUGGAGAGGAGGGGGCAGGAGGCUCCUAUUAAUACUAAUCCCAAGAAAUAUUGCUGUGCCCUGAAUAAAUCAGGCUGGGGGUUCCUCCAAGACCUUUGCCCCCUUGAGAUGAGCUGCAGUGCAGCCCCUCCUCUUUGGGGUGGACACUUUUGGGAAGGGAAUCGGCCCAGGGGGGUGCUGGGGG